UUAGCUAGCUGGCCUCUGGCAUUCAUUCUAGCUUUACAAUUAACUAGCUAGCUUUAUCAGGCAGCUUUACAUGCGCGGGGAAAAUUUAUAUAUUUGCUAGUUAGUUAACCAUCUGAUUGACAAAGUUGACCAUAAAUGCCAUUAGCUAGCUAGAUAGCUAAAUUGACUACUAGAGGAAAGCUAGCUAACUCCCACCAUCACUGCAGUGUAGCUAAUGUUAGCUAGGUAUAUAUGUGGAGAGGGAGUAAGAUCACUAGAAAGCCGCAUGCUGCCAGACCACCAAAGGACCCUAGAGGUUGAAGAACAUCCCCAACACCCAGACUGACCUAAAGAACUUGGGAACCUCCCAGACACCAGGAGAAUCAUCUUGUUCUUGGUGUUUAUUCACAAGGUUUGUCAUGAUUUCCAGGAGCCUAGUGGAGUUGGAUACAACAUACUCCAAGGCAGGACAUUUCCCUGCAUCCAGGUUAAGGUCUGCUACCAGCAGGAACAUGGAGCACUCCAUGUCAGUAAUCAUAUACACUACCGUUCAAAAGUUUGGGGUCACUUAGAAUUGUCCUUGUUUUUGAAAGAGGAGCAAUUUUUUUCUCUCUAUUAAAAUAACAUCAAAUUGAUCAGAAAUACAGUGUAGACACUGUUAAUGUUGUAAAUGACUUGUAGCUGGAAACGGCAGAUUUUUUUAAUGGAAUAUCUACAUAGCCGUACAGAGACCCAUUAUCAGCAACCAUCACUCCUGUGUUCCAAUGGCACUUUGUGUUAGCUAAUCCAAGUUUAUCAUUUUAAAAGGCUAAUUGAUCAUUAGAAAACCCUUUUGCAAUUAUGUUAGCACAGCUGAAAACUGUUGUCCUGAUUUAAAGAAGCAAUAAAACUCGCCUUCUUUAGACUAGUUGAGUAUCUGGAGCAUUAGCAUUUGUGGGUUCGAUUACAGGCUCAAAAUGGCCAGAAACAAAGACCUUUUUUAUGAAACUCGUCAGUCUAUUCUUGUUCUGAGAAAUUAAGGGUAUUCCAUGUGAGAAAUUGCCAAGAAACUGAAGAUCUCGUACAACGCUGUGUACUACUCCCUUCACAGAACAGCGCAAACUGUCUCUAACCAGAAUAGAAAGAGGAGUGGGAGGCCCCGGUGCACAACUGAGCAAGAGGAAAAGUACAUUAGUGUCUAGUUUGAGAAACAGACGCCUCACAAGUCCUUAACUGGCAGCUUCAUUAAAUAGUACCCGCAAAACACUAGUCUCAACGUGAAGAGGCGACUCCUGGAUGCAGGCCUUCUAGGCAGAGUUGCAACGAAAAACCAUAUCUCAGACUGGCCAAUAAAAGAUUGAUGUGCAAAAGAACAUAGACACUGGACAGAGGAACUAUGCCUAGAAGGCCAGUGCCCAUCACUAUGCUAAGGAUCCUGGGACUGAACACCUCCCUCUGCAACUGGAUGGUGCCAGGACAACAACCUCUUCCGCCAAUGUGGGCAAGACAAAGGUGGCUGAAGACGCCCCCGUUCACAUCGACCGGGCUAUAGUGGAGCAGGUUGAGAGCUUCAAGUUCCUCUGUGUCCACAUCACUGAGGAUGUAUCAUGGUCCAAACACACCAACACAGUUGUAAACAGGGCAUGACAACGCCUCUUCCCCCUCAGGAGGCUGUAAAGAUUUGGCCCUCAGAUCUUCAAGGUAUGGCAACUGCUCAUCAUCCGACCGCAAGGCGCUACAGAGGGUAGUGCAUACGGCCCAGUACAUCACUGGGGCCAAACUCCCUGCCAUCCAGGACCUCUAUACCAGGCGGUGUCAGAGGAAAGCCCCCCAAAAAUGUCAAAGAAUCCAGCCACUCAAGUCAUAGUCUGUUCUUUCUGCUACCAAAAGGCUCUUGAACAGCUUCUACCCACAAGCCAUAAGACUGUUGAACAGCUAAUCAAAUGGCUACCCGGACUAUUUACUAUACAUUGACUCUGUUAGCAGUUGAUGUUAUUCUUCAAUAACACAGACCCCAAGUUAAAUCAGGGGGAGGAAAAUAGGUUUAUUCAAAGAGAACAGAUCAUGCGGGGAGGUAGAUGGUAGAUUUUCAUGCUCCCUUGUCCUCAGUGAUUCUCUCCAGUGAUUCUCUCCGCAGAACAAAGGGACAGGAUGUAGUUUUAUAACCCAGCCCUAGUCUGUGGUUGACCAAUUAGAAUUCCCUGCAAUAAAACUGGGCCAAUGUCCAAUUAACAAGUAUUCUGCUCCAGACUCAGAUCAAUGAAAACAUAGUACACUUAGCUAUGAGUUCAGGACUGACAUUCCUAACAGAUUCUAAACAGAUGUUGAACUGGAAAACAACUAUUUCCAUUGAUUGUUAAUUCUAGUCCUCUCAUCCUCUGCAUUGUGUAUUUAUCUUCGACAUUCUUACAACUCCCUUUACUAUUUAUUUUUUUAUUGUAAUUUUUUUUGUUGCACUUUUUUACUUUCUUGCACUGGCUCUAUGCACACGCAUACAAUUACCUGUAAGGUCCCUCAGUGGAGCAGUAAAAAUUUGAAAAGCAGACAUUGAAUAUCCCUUUGAGCAUGGUGAAGUUAUUAAUUACGCUGUGGAUGGUGUAUCAAUACACCCAGUCACUACAACGAUACAGGCGUCCUUCCUAACUCAGUUGCCGGAGAGGAAGGAAACCACUCACCAGGAGGUCAAUGGUGUCUUUUAAAACAGUUACAGAGUUGUAUAGCUGUGAUAGGAGAAAACUGAGGAUGGAUCAACAACAUUGUAGUUACUACAGAAAACUAAUAUAAUUGACAGUGAAAAGAAGGAAGCCUGUAGAGAAAAAAAAAUCAUCCUGUUUGCAACAAGGCACUAAAGUAAUACUGCAAAAAAUGUGGCAAAG
rnacentral:lncRNA from 1 species